rnacentral:rRNA from 1 species
UGGGGAAUCUUGCGCAAUGGGCGAAAGCCUGACGCAGCGACGCCGCGUGAGCGAUGAAGGCCUUCGGGUUGUAAAGCUCUGUGGGGAGGGAAGAAUAAGUGUACGUGAAUAUCGUGCAUGAUGACGGUACCUCCUUAGCAAGCACCGGCUAACUCUGUGCCAGCAGCCGCGGUAAGACAGAGGGUGCAAACGUUGUUCGGAAUUACUGGGCGUAAAGAGCGUGUAGGUUGCUGUGCAAGUCGGAUGUGAAAGCCCGCGGCUCAACUGCGGAAGAGCACCCGAAACUGCAUAGCUAGAGUCCCGGAGAGGAAGGUGGAAUGCUUGGUGUAGAGGUGAAAUUCGUAGAUAUCAAGCGGAACACCGGUGGCGAAGGCGGCCUUCUGGACGGUGACUGACACUG